rnacentral:sRNA from 1 species
AUCUGUUGAGGACAGAUGAAGUGGAUGUGUGCAUCGAUACCACCCGCAGUAAGUAUCUUGCCUUCUCCUGCAAUCACCUCCGUUCCCGGGCCGAUGACGAUGUCCACCUCAGGUUGGGUGUCGGGAUUUCCCGCCUUACCAAUUGCAGCAAUACGCCCGUCUUUUAUGCCCACAUCAGCUUUGACGAUCCCCCAAUAAUCCACAAUGAGUGCAUUCGUAAUAACCGUAUCGACCGUCUCGUCCGAUGAUCUCUGGCUCUGGCCCAUGCCGUCGCG